AUUGAACGCUGGCGGAAUGCUUUACACAUGCAAGUCGGGCGGCAGCGCGGGGGCAACCCUGGCGGCGAGCGGCGAACGGGUGAGUAAUACAUCGGAACGUGUCCUUGAGUGGGGGAUAGCUCGGCGAAAGCCGGAUUAAUACCGCAUAAGCUCUGAGGAGGAAAGCGGGGGACUGGUAACGGCCUCGCGCUGUUGGAGCGGCCGAUGUCGGAUUAGCUAGUUGGUGGGGUAAAGGCCCACCAAGGCGACGAUCCGUAGCUGGUCUGAGAGGAUGAUCAGCCACACUGGAACUGAGACACGGUCCAGACUCCUACGGGAGGCAGCAGUGGGGUAAUUUUGGACAAUGGGGGCAACCCUGAUCCAGCCAUUCCGCGUGAGUGAAGAAGGCC
rnacentral:rRNA from 1 species